rnacentral:rRNA from 1 species
AUUCCAGCUCCAAUAGCGUAUAUUAAAGUUGUUGCGGUUAAAAAGCUCGUAGUUGGAUUUCUGCCGAGGAUGACCGGUCCGCCCUGUGGGUGUGCAUCUGGCUCAGCCUUGGCAUCUUCCUGAAGAACGUAGCUGCACUUGACUGUGUGGUGCGGUAUUUAGGACAUUUACUUUGAGGAAAUUAGAGUGUUUCAAGCAAGCGCACGCUUUGAAUACAUUAGCAUGGAAUAAUGGAAUAGGACUUUUUCCUCUUCUGUUGGUCUGAGGGGUUCGAGUAAUGAUUAAUAGGGAUAGUUGGGGGCAUUAGUACUUUGCUGUCAGAGGUGAAAUUCUCGGAUCUGCAAAAGACUAACUUAUGCGAAAGCAUUUGCCAAGGAUGUUUUCAUUA